CAGGUGAACACACAACAGACAAUUUGGCUGGGUUUUGGGGUUAGCUUCUGAAGAAUAACAGCUACUGUGUGCAGACACCAGAAGUCAGCACACUUGCCCUGGAGGGAGCCACGCCUGUCAGUCUGCAGGAAAGCUCAGAGAAAAUACAUUAAACGGUAUCACCUUGAUCUCCUUGGUGCCAGUGAGGACUUCUUUGGCAUCAGGAGCCUAGUAAGUCUCUUAAUCCUCUGAGGCAGAUGGAUUUCCACCCACUUAACAGAUUGGACCGCGGUGGUGACAAACUUUCUCCAGAGUGAGUGCUGGCCUCCCAGCUCCAGCAGCUGCGGGGUCUGACUUCCCUGAGGAGCCAAACUCUGUAUCUUACCAAGGAAGAGCCUGAUUGGAGAGAUACACAGUACCAGCAGAUGAUGCCAUGCAUCCAUUCUCACCCAGUAUCCAGCAGCCCUUCCAGGCAGGUGAAGUCACUACCUUACACACCUGGUGAACUCGCCUUCACCCUGCUUGGGACCAGCCCUGCUCCAGCUGAGACAGACUUACCCUCAGUACUUUGGACACAGGACAUGAAGCAACUCUGCUACAAGUGUCCUGGAAAGAGCUCCCUUCCUGAGCAGAGGGUCAAGAAGGGGCCAUGUGAGUGCCUAGCUUCCCGGGCAUUGAAUGUAAGGUAGGACCAGCUGACUUCAAGGGUGCCCGACAAUGUCCGUGUUUGUCGAACAGACCAAAUUUUCUAUGAAUUAAACUAUCUCUUCACAAAAUCCUAA